AACGCAAAUUGCGCCUAUUAGUAUUCUAGUAGGCAUACCUAUUCGAGCGUCAUUUCAAAAAUUCAACUAUGUUGGUGUUAGCAGUCAAUUAAUUUAAUGGCUACUCAAACAAAAACCCAUCAGUAUAUCUGCUGCUUUCUACAGAGUAAUUAUUUGUUUAAAGAGCGUUAUAAUGAUGUAGACUUUUUCGCAAGUUGACCUCGAAUUAGGCAGGAAUACCCGCUGAACUUAA
rnacentral:misc_RNA from 1 species